CAGCUGAACAGGUCCGUUGGGAAAUCUGCUCGCUCAACGAGCAGGCGUCCGGCGGAAACCAGUCAGCUUGGGACCGAGAGGACCGAAGGGUACGUCUGGGGUAGGAGUGAAAUCCCGUAAUCCUGGACGGACCACCGAUGGCGAAAGCACUUCGGUAGAUCGGAUCCGACGGUGAGGGACGAAAGCUAGGGUCACGAACCGGAUUAGAUACCCGGGUAGUCCUAGCCGUAAACGAUGCUCGUUAGGUGUGGCGCAAACUACGAGUUUGUGCCGUGCCGCAGCGAAGGCGAUAAACGAGCCGCCUGGGAA
rnacentral:rRNA from 1 species